UUAGGUUAAUUCAAAUAUUGUAAAUUUGUAUGGAGUCGGAACGUUUGCCUACGUAUGCCGCUAGGGGCGCUGUUCCAACUGCAUACAAAUUUGAGUUAACUUUUACGCGAUCGA
rnacentral:pre_miRNA from 9 species